rnacentral:rRNA from 1 species
UACGGAGGGUGCGAGCGUUAAUCGGAAUUACUGGGCGUAAAGCGUGCGCAGGCGGCCCGUUAAGCCAGAUGUGAAAGCCCCGGGCUCAACCUGGGAACUGCAUUUGGGACUGGCGGGCUGGAGUUUGGGAGAGGGGGGCGGAAUUCCGGGUGUAGCGGUGAAAUGCGUAGAUAUCCGGAGGAACACCAGUGGCGAAGGCGGCCCCCUGGCCCAAAACUGACGCUGAGGCACGAAAGCGUGGGUAGCAAACAGG